rnacentral:lncRNA from 1 species
UUGAGGUGAAGUGGUGACAGAGAGAUAUAAUAUAAUAUUUUCUUUAGGUUCAUCAGAUCCAAGUAAUAAUCCAUUACAUCGUUGAGUUGCAGGUGCAGGUAUAUAUAUGUCUCCACCUAUUUCUUUCUAGAUUUUCAAUUUUCAUUCCUCUUCUCUUCAUUAACUAUUUCUUUGCAUUUUUAUAUGUUUAUGGUUUUCAUUCUCAGUCUCAUGGGAAUUCUCUUCACUCCACGUAAUUAAAACUAUGCAUGAGUUAGAAAUAUCUUUACUUUUAGUUUUUAAGUAUAACUCAAUUCUAUUAUUAAUUUGUAAAAUAAAAUUUGUACAUAUAUAUAUAUGAAUGUGAGUUGUCUUGUGUAAAAAAUGGGGUUGAUUUUAUUGACCCAUGGUCUGCAUACUGACAUACAUCAUUUUUCUUUAAAAUUAAUAAAAAAUAAAUUUACUUUUUAUUUAUUAUAAGUUAAUUUUUUCUUAUUUAAAUAAAUUAGAUAAAUGAUCUCACAUUAUUAUUCUUACGUGCGUGUAAUCAGAUGUUAUAAUUUUCAAUAAAAUUUGAAUUUUAAUCGUAUGAAUAAAUUGACUAAUAAAAUAUUUCAUUAAAUAUAUAUUUUUAAGGUAAUACACGUAGACACAUUAUUAUUAUUUUAAGUUAAAAAAUAAUAUAAAAUAAUAUUAUUAUAUUUAAUUUUUAUUAUAAAAAAACUAAGGUUUGAUUAGUGUAUUUAACAUUUGAUGAAUAUUGAAAUCUAAUCAAUCUGUGAAUUUCAAAAAGAUAAAAAAAUACUAUUAAAUAUUAAAAAUUAUUAUCGAAUUUUGUGAAUGUGUUAUUAAUUAGGGAUUGAGGUUAAUUUCUUCCUACACCUCCAUGUCUUUCUUCUUGUACUGCAUACUUCAAAAAAUACUCAACUUACACUUUGUCAUUUUUCAUUGAAUGUUUUUUCUUUUAUUUCGGAAUGUGAAAUUCGGAGAUUUCCCGAGUUAUAGAAUUUGAAAGUUAAAAUUUGUAUUUCAAAAUGUAUAAUAUUUCAAAUUGGUCAAUCCAUAAUACAAAUUUGUAUUCCAUAUUUUAGAAUUUGGAAUAGAUAAUUUUAGAAAUUUUUAGAAUAUAAGGCUAGAAGAAGAAAUUAUGGGGUGCAUAAAGAAAUUUCUAAAUUUUUAAAAUAUGCGGGUUUGCCCGUGCACUUGACCCAUGCAGGUUGCGGGUUAUGUGGAUUGGGUCUAAACAGGCCAAUAGGUUAAAAUAAACACUUCAGCCCACGUUUUUUCUUAAUCAACUAUAAACUGAUCUGCUCAGCUCAUCUCACUUUUCAUCCUUACUUGUCUUUUUUUUAUCAGCAAUGAAUUAAUAAAAUAAAAUAAAAAACACUCUAGGGGUGUCCCAACCUUUAUACACAAGUCUCUCCUAGUUUAAGAAUUCAUCACAAUCUAAAUAAAACAAACACCACUUAACUCAAAAACUUAAAUUAUUAAAGAGUCCCACCACCCUUGUGACUCCAUGAUAUGGAAUUUCCAACCAUGUAUACGAUCAAACUUUUAAAUUUUCUUUUCCUCAAACUUAGACUAAAAGUGUGCAGGUGCCAUAUUUGAUCAGUUCAGGUAACCAUGACAAUCACGGGAAAGGACGAGCCCCGAAUGAACGGAGCUUUCAAAAACAGGUUUCAGAAUGAAAUCAGUUCACGUGACCCAAAUGAAGGAGAUCCAAAACAUUUUGGUAACCCAAAAGAAGAAAAUCAAAAGAGAAAUAAUAAAUGGAAGUGUUUUUUAUGUUGUUAUGGACAUCAACAAGGAGAAUAGUAAUUUGGAGGGGUUGUAUGUAAUGUUAAAGUGGUCGUAUGGGUUUGGUAUUCUACGUUCUAGGUUGGUCCCAUAGCAAAAUCUUAGUUUUUUCUUUAUCAUUUUCUAUACAGUUUGAGUUGUAUAUGGAGGUUGGAACAACUAAUACUUCAUUUAUAUCAUAUUUCUUUUUUAUUCAUGAAAAAAC